AUACUUACCUGGCAGAGACAAUACCAUGAUCACGAAGGUGGUUUCCCCAGGGCGAGGCUCACCCAUAAAACUUCGAGUGUGCUGACCUCUUUGAUUUCCCCAAAUGUGGAAAACUUGACUGCGUAAUUUGUGGUAGUGGGGGACUUCGUUCGUGCUCUCCCCUG